CAGGUGAUGAUGAAGCGCACUUUUUCGAGGGCCCGCCCACUUGUCCACUCUGCCGCCGCCCGUGCAGGCACACUGACCAGAGGGGCACCCGCGUGAAGCUGGCUGGUAGAGGAGUGACGGAGGGUUGCACUGGAGGAGAGAAUACCGGCUUCCCCAAGAGUCAAGGACACUUACGUCGUCGCCUUUGAACUUCAAGAGCACCUUCACCGUCUAAGUCAUCCUGGGUGUGGGGUGCGGCGUCUCUUCCCAUCAUAUCCCAGAACUUCAAGAACACCUUCACCGUCUAGGUCAUCCUGGGUGUGGGGUGCGGCGUCUCUUCCCAUCAUAUCCCAGAACUUCAAGAGCACCUUCACCGUCUAAGUCAUCCUGGGUGUGCGGUGCGGCGUCUCUUCCCGUCAUAUCCCAGAACUUCAAGAGCACCUUCACCGUCUAAGUCAUCCUGGGUGUGGGGUGCGGCGUCUCUUCCCAUCAUAUCCCAGAACUUCAAGAGCACCUUCACCGUCUAAGUCAUCCUGGGUGUGCGGUGCGGCGUCUCUUCCCAUCAUAUCCCAGAACUUCAAGAGCACCUUCACCGUCUAAGUCAUCCUGGGUGUGCGGUGCGGCGUCUCUUCCCAUCAUAUCCCAGAACUUCAAGAGCACCUUCACCGUCUAAGUCAUCCUGGGUGUGGGGUGCGGCGUCUCUUCCCGUCAUAUCCCAGAACUUCAAGAGCACCUUCACCGUCUAAGUCAUCCUGGGUGUGGCGUGCUGCUUCUCUCCUUCAUCCCCUGGUCAUGGAGAAACUCUUGCCGCCGCGACAGCAGGAGGGUCGCUCGCCUGAUGGUGUGCAGCGCAAAUGGCUCGUGCAUCUCCGGACGAGGCCAAAGUUUGGUGAUCGUUGGGGGUUGGUUGGCUGGUGGUGGGAGCCGCAGCACUCGCCUGGAAGAAAGGAAAACGAGUGAAA